UCUUUAUUAAUUUUAUUUUAUAAUAUAUUUUAGAUGCAUAAUUUUAUUAUAUUAUAAUUUAAUUUUAUUGGGGUGAUAUAAAAAUUAAAUAAACUUUUUAUUAUAUUUAUAUAUUAAUUUAUAAUUUUUUGAUCCAUUAAUGAUGAUUAUAAGUUUAAGU
rnacentral:rRNA from 1 species